AACGAACGCUGGCGGCAUGCCUAACACAUGCAAGUCGAACGAGACCUUCGGGUCUAGUGGCGCACGGGUGCGUAACGCGUGGGAACCUGCCUUUAGGUUCGGAAUAAUUCCCCGAAAGGGGUGCUAACACCGGAAAAUGUCUUCUGAUCAAAGAUUUAUCGCCUUUGUAUGGGCCCGCGUUGGAUUAGCUAGUUGGUAGGGUAAAAGCCUACCAAGGCGACGAUCCAUAGCUGGUCUGAGAGGAUGAUCAGCCACACUGGGACUGGGACACGGCCGAGACUCCUACGGGAGGCAGCAGUGGGGAAUAUUGGACAAUGGGCGAGAGCCUGAUCCAGCAAUGCCGGGUGAGUGAUGAAGGCCUUAGGGUUGUAAAGCUCUUUUACCCGGGAUGGUAAUGACAGUACCGGGAGAAUAAGCUCCGGCUAACUCCGUG
rnacentral:rRNA from 1 species